UCAAACUUGGUCAUUUAGAGGAAGUAAAAGUCGUAACAAGGUUUCCGUAGGUGAACCUGCGGAAGGAUCAUUAACAAUUCAUUAUAAUUUUACUCACCUUCGUGUGCAACUGUAAAAAAGUAUAUCUUUGGAAAGGUUAUUCGUUAACCUUUCCAAGGGUUAUCGUAAUUAAUGAUUAUUUUCUUUUUCUGUUACUAAAAAAAACAUUUUAAUAAAAACAACUUUCAACAAUGGAUCUCUUGGCUCUCGCAUCGAUGAAGAACGCAGC
rnacentral:misc_RNA from 1 species